GAUGAACGCUAGCGAUAGGCUUAACACAUGCAAGUCGAGGGGCAGCAUGGUCUUAGCUUGCUAAGGCUGAUGGCGACCGGCGCACGGGUGCGUAACGCGUAUGCAACUUGCCUCACAGAGGGGGAUAACCCGUCGAAAGGCGGACUAAUACCGCGUACACUCUAUGUUGGGCAUCCAAUGUAGAGGAAAUGAAAUUCGCUGUGAGAUAGGCAUGCGUCCCAUUAGCUAGUUGGUGAGGUAACGGCUCACCAAGGCGACGAUGGGUAGGGGAACUGAGAGGUUGAACCCCCACACUGGUACUGAGACACGGACCAGACUCCUACGGGAGGCAGCAGUGAGGAAUAUUGGUCAAUGGGCGAGAGCCUGAACCAGCCAAGUCGCGUGAAGGAUGACUGUCUUAUGGAUUGUAAACUUCUUUUAUACGGGAAUAACAAGAGUCACGUGUGGCUCCCUGCAUGUACCGUAUGAAUAAGCAUCGGCUAACUCCGUG
rnacentral:rRNA from 1 species